GUCUAGGGCCAUGCUACCCUGAACAAGCCCAAUCCUGUCUGAUCUCAGAAGCUAAGCAGGGUCGAGCCUGGUUGGUACUUGGAUGGGAGACCACCUAGGAAAAUGAGGUGCUGUAGGUG
rnacentral:rRNA from 1 species